rnacentral:rRNA from 1 species
AUUGAACGCUGGCGGCAGGCUUAACACAUGCAAGUCGAGCGGGGUGAUGGUGCUUGCACUAUCACUUAGCGGCGGACGGGUGAGUAAUGCUUAGGAAUCUGCCUAUUAGUGGGGGACAACAUCUCGAAAGGGAUGCUAAUACCGCAUACGUCCUACGGGAGAAAGCAGGGGAUCACUUGUGACCUUGCGCUAAUAGAUGAGCCUAAGUCGGAUUAGCUAGUUGGGGGGGUAAAGGCCUACCAAGGCGACGAUCUGUAGCUGGUCUGAGAGGAUGAUCCGCCACACUGGGACUGAGACACGGCCCAGACUCCUACGGGAGGCAGCAGUGGGGAAUAUUGGACAAUGGGGGGAACCCUGAUCCAGCCAUGCCGCGUGUGUGAAGAAGGCCUUAUGGUUGUAAAGCACUUUAAGCGAGGAGGAGGCUCUUUUGGUUAAUACCCAAGAUGAGUGGACGUUACUCGCAGAAUAAGCACCGGCUAACUCUGUGCCAGCCGCCGCGGUAA